AUUGAACGCUGGCGGCAGGCUUAACACAUGCAAGUCGAGCGGGGUGAUGGUGCUUGCACUAUCACUUAGCGGCGGACGGGUGAGUAAUGCUUAGGAAUCUGCCUAUUAGUGGGGGACAACAUCUCGAAAGGGAUGCUAAUACCGCAUACGUCCUACGGGAGAAAGCAGGGGAUCACUUGUGACCUUGCGCUAAUAGAUGAGCCUAAGUGGGAUUAGCUAGUUGGUGGGGUAAGGGCCUACCAAGGCGACGAUCUGUAGCGGGUCUGAGAGGAUGAUCCGCCACACUGGGACUGAGACACGGCCCAGACUCCUACGGGAGGCAGCAGUGGGGAAUAUUGGACAAUGGGGGAACCCUGAUCCAGCCAUGCCGCGUGUGUGAAGAAGGCCUUAUGGUUGUAAAGCACUUUAAGCGAGGAGGAGGCUCUUUUGGUUAAUACCCAAGAUGAGUGGACGUUACUCGCAGAAUAAGCACCGGCUAACUCUGUGCCAGCAGCCGCGGUAA
rnacentral:rRNA from 1 species